GGGGAAUAUUGCACAAUGGGCGCAAGCCUGAUGCAGCAACGCCGCGUGAGGGACGACGGCCUUCGGGUUGUAAACCCCUUUUGGCAGGGAAGAAGCGAAAGUGACGGUACCCGCAGAAAAAGCACCGGCUAACUACGUGCCAGCAGCCGCGGUGAUACGUAGGGUGCAAGCGUUGUCCGGAAUUAUUGGGCGUAAAGAGCUCGUAGGCGGUUUGUCGCGUCUGCUGUGAAAACCCGAGGCUCAACCUCGGGCCUGCAGUGGGUACGGGCAUACUAGAGUGCGGUAGGGGAGAUUGGAAUUCCUGGUGUAGCGGUGGAAUGCGCAGGUAUCAGGAGGAACACCGAUGGCGAAGGCAGAUCUCUGGGCCGUAACUGACGCUGAGGAGCGAAAGCAUGGGGAGCGAACA
rnacentral:rRNA from 1 species